AUUGAACGCUGGCGGCAGGCCUAACACAUGCAAGUCGAACGAGCGGCGGACGGGUGAGUAAUGUCUGGGGAUCUGCCCGAUGGAGGGGGAUAACUACUGGAAACGGUGGCUAAUACCGCAUACUAUCGGAUGUGCCCAGAUGGGAUUAGCUAGUAGGUGGGGUAAAGGCUCACCUAGGCGACGAUCCCUAGCUGGUCUGAGAGGAUGAUCAGCCACACUGGGACUGAGACACGGCCCAGACUCCUACGGGAGGCAGCAGUGGGGAAUAUUGCACAAUGGGCGCAAGCCUGAUGCAGCCAUGCCGCGUGUAUGAAGAAGGCCUUAGGGUUGUAAAGUACUUUCAGCGGGGAGGCGUUACCCGCAGAAGAAGCACCGGCUAACUCCGUGCCAGCAGCCGCGGUAAUUC
rnacentral:rRNA from 1 species